CUAACGCAGAAGUUCUGGCCACAGGCCAGAAGAGGCCAUGUCUCUCCCACUGCUUCAGUGUCUCACUCAGUCACAAUUGUCCAGGAAACCCAUGGAAACCCAGGUGCAGAGGAGAUGCAGGACCUGAAGACCUAAGGCUGUGAGUGAAGGCCAGGUGGCCACUCUGGCCCCCCAGUCAGAAGCUGGCAUCUGGCGACCCUCUGAAACACCGUGCGGAAUGGGCCUCAGAUUCUUCAGGCCAGGGUGUGCGGAGUGGGAUAGAGCAUUUAUCCACUGACUUCCUCGGCCAUUUACUGAGUGUUGCCCAAGGUGUUGCCAACCUGUGGCUCCAAGAACUUUUCACAAGUGACUAGCAUGCUACUCUGGUGCUGAAGAAAGCUUUGGCCCUUGAGAUACGACUUUGAACCAGGAAGCUCCCAAAUUAAAAUUGAGUCAGAACAUCA